GAUGGGUCAUUAUUAUUUGUACCAGAAAGAACAAAGUAUUGUAACUUGGGCAGGUGAGUCAGAGUCAAUAGAGAAGAAAACUCUCUCGCCUGCCACAGCCUGAGAAGAACUCGCUCGCUUUAUGACCAGAUGUCAGCCUUAUAGGACCAACAGCCAUCUGUGAGAUAUGCAGUGCAGGAGUUUGCCGCUGUACCUGUUGUGCCUCUAUACUGUGUUUAGGUACACAAAUUCAGCUGCAGAUCUCAGUGACUGUGCAGCUGCUGGGAGCAUUUGUGACACCAAUGCAGAAUGUCUCAAAACACGUGAAACGUUUGUCUGCAUGUGCCGAAUGGGUUACAAAGGAACUGGAGUGCAGUGCCAAGACAUAGAUGAAUGUACUAUGGGUUUUCACAACUGCCACA